GGCAGUUCUUGGGUGAUGCACCCUGGAAUCGGGCUCCCUCCUCUCUGGUUCUGGGUGUGUCACCCGAGAACCGUA
rfam:Myotis brandtii contig259371, whole genome shotgun sequence.